CAAUAAUUGAUGUACUCCGGAUAGUACAGUCCUGCAACAUCCCGGAACAACAUUUAUUAAUUGGGUCUGGAUGUAAAGGGUCAACAAAUAUGAGGAAAAAGUGCUUCAAAACUAAAUAGGCUACUUGCACAAGCGCUUCCUGAUUCGCCGUAAUACAGCUUCACAGCUUCCGGUCAAAGAUGGCGACGUUCUACACCCGGUGUUUACAAGAGCUGCCGACAAUAAACAUCACUGAUGUACAUCGAUUAUGUAGGGAAACGAAAACUCCGACCAGCAAAUUGGAGAAGGGGUUUAGGCUGUAUGCUGCGACCUACAUUCACAGCUACGAAGUGACCGCGUGGGAAAACGACGUCGGGAGGAGAACGCUCCCGGAUACCACGGUAACCACGGUGGCGGCUGCUGCUGCUGCUGUGAGGGUGUGCUGUGAUCGUCUAGACUAGAGGCCUUCCGCUUUGGUGGACGUCCAUUCUAAAGGCCAGAGGAGAAAAGUGACCGCGUGGGAAACCGACGUCGGAAAGAGAACGCUCCCCACAUCCCCCGAGUCCUCCAGCCUCCGUGGAUGGCGUGGUCCAGGGUUACCACGGUAACAUGGCGGCGGCUGCUGUUGUGAGGGUGUGCUGUGAUCUUCUGGAGGCCUUCCCGUUUUCGGUAACGUCCAUUCUAAGGCCGGGAGAGAAAAGGUUUCCCUCCACUCCAGGAGGGGUUAUCCACUGACAGGACGGUCCCAUCAACCCAUCUCCACAACUCUUCACUGGCCUCAUCUGUCGCUCCUAGCGAGGUGUUCGCGCCGUACUUGCUAAUGAAGUCCAUCUCCUCUUUACUGUCCACAACCACCAGAUCUGCUCCACGGGAAACACAGAGCUCCCUGCUCUUAUUCCAGGAUCCCCACACACUGAAAUAACAUUUGCAACCAAACUUAUCCCAAUAACGUGGACAUUCCUGGUUACAAAGAGUCAGAAAGUCUCUCUGCUCUGUCACAUUCUUCAGCCUGUCCAUGACUAUCUUGUGUUUCACUGCCAACCCAAGCAGUCCAGCCAGCAGGGCAACAGACAGCAGGACCAGAAGCACCACCACAGCCCUGAUCGGACACCGAGGAGGGCUCACAGGGUCCGGCUGCUGACUUCUUACUGUUCCCAGAGUGUUGGAGGACUCCUCUGUCCCCACAUAGUCCUGGUGUUGAUCUCUGAGGCUCUCACUGGUAGCGUAGAUCUCCACUAUCCUCUCCUCUCUCUCUCCUUGUGUGUUCCUGGCCUUGGUCAUCAUGUUGGGCGUGGUGUAAAUCACCUCAGCCAUAUUCUGGUCCAAACUGUUUUCAGAGUUUCUUAUCGUCCUACCCCUAUGAGUGCUUCUUCUUUCUGUGCGUUUUGAAUGCCAGCAUGUCGACGUCUUAACACCUACUUUGAUCACACAGGAAGUAUUUUAACUAGAGGCUACCUGCUACAUGUGCUUACAGAGUCACUGUGGUAUGGUUAGACACAUCCUGUUUCUUAGUUAGUGGUACAUGCAGUGCAUCACUUAUGGUCAUAACCAUAAGGUUGAUUUGUUGAUCAAAAUCAAAAGGACCAAAAUAAACAUCAAGACAUUCUUCAAAUACACAUUUGAGCCAUAGGUCUUGGCUAACUGUUAAUUAAUGGCUGUGUCUGUUAAAGCAGAUAAUUUGAUAGACGUUGAUGAUAUUAUUGAUGUCCACUCCAGAAAGAAAGUUUAGUUCGUGGCCCCCUCUAAGUUACAAAGCAGAUCCCCCCCUGGCCUACCAGGUAGGUAGACAGACAGGUAGGCCGUCCAAUCAUUAAUUUUGCCCAAGAUAAAUGAUUGGACGGGCUUAGUAUAGUCCUGCAACAUCCAAAGAUAUCAGAUUUUCUUCAUUAUUGUCGGCUCAUUCGAUUUAUUAAUUGGGUCUGGAUGUAAAGGAUCAACAAAUAUGAGAAAAAAUGCUUCAAAAAUAAAUUGCCUGCCCUAGCUUUAACACGGCAUCGCUUCGAUUAGCUCUCCACUGACGACAAAACACAUCAUCUUGUGACAACUUUAUUGCUUUACACAACGUGUGAUCGGCAUAUCUACAGAACAAAGAACUUUGAAAAGAAACCAAAGUAUAUAUUAAAAAACGGAGAAGAUCCAACAACGUCUGAGCUUAAACUCUGUUGUGUU